AACUGGAACAAGAUGCAGGACUGAGUGCUUCUCUAAGGAAAGAAGGAGGAAACAGCAGUGUUGACCUGCCCUGGAGUCCACCCUCACCUCAGCCCUGCUCCGCAUCCCUCGUGCUCCUGGGUCACCGCCAACCGCACCGAAACCCCAGGGCUCACUCACUCUUGUGCUUCUGGGCAUGUCCAACCUGCAGCCAUCAGAGGGCCCCAUGCAUCUCAGGGUGCUAUGGACAUGGCCCAAUGUAUCUGCAGAGGACAUCAUGUCACAGUAUCAGAAGAUCAGGUACCCCACAUGUAUAGAGCGCUUUUCCACCCCCACCUCACUGAAACUCUUUAACAACCUUCCGCCUCAUCAGACUCUUGGGAAAGCCUGGCCUUGCAUGGGUCCUGAGCCUGCCUCUACCACCCAAUUAAGCUUUGAGGCCUACUAAGGCCUAAAUGCUACUACCAGGGGCAAGGAGUCCCUGACUCCACUGUAAAAUCGUCUUCCUGUGUGGUGCCAUGUAUCUUGGGCUACCUUACCAUCAUUCUUGUCAUCUACCACUGUAAUUACACAUUUACAGACUGCC
ensembl:antisense Tnfsf13os tumor necrosis factor (ligand) superfamily, member 13, opposite strand